AUUGACGCUGAGGCACGAAAGCGUGGGGAUCAAACAGGAUUAGAUACCCUGGUAGUCCACGCCCUAAACGAUGAAUACUCGUUGUUGGCGAUAUACAGUCAGCGACUAAGCGAAAGCGUUAAGUAUUCCACCUGGGGAGUACGUUCGCAAGAAUGAAACUCAAAGGAAUUGACGGGGGCCCGCACAAGCGGAGGAACAUGUGGUUUAAUUCGAUGAUACGCGAGGAACCUUACCCGGGCUUGAAAUGCAGACGACCGAAGUGGAAACACUUCUUCCAGCAAUGGCGUCUGUGUAGGUGCUGCAUGGUUGUCGUCAGCUCGUGCCGUGAGGUGUCGGCUUAAGUGCCAUAACGAGCGCAACCCUUGCCAUUAGUUGCUAACAGGUUAAGCUGAGAACUCUAAUGGGACUGCCAUCGUAAGAUGCGAGGAAGGUGGGGAUGACGUCAAAUCAGCACGGCCCUUACGUCCGGGGCGACACACGUGUUACAAUGGGUGGUACAGAGGGUCGCUACCUGGUGACAGGAUGCUAAUCUCCUAAAUCCACUCUCAGUUCGGAUCGAAGUCUGCAACUCGACUUCGUGAAGCUGGAUUCGCUAGUAAUCGCGCAUCAGCCAUGGCGCGGUGAAUACGUUCCCGGGCCUUGUACACACCGCCCGUCAAGCCAUGGAAGCCGGGGGGACCUGAAGUACGUAACCGCUAAGGAGCGUCCUAGGGUAAAACCGGUAACUGGGGCUAAGUCGUAACAAGGUAGCCGUACCGGAAGGUGCGGCUG
rnacentral:rRNA from 1 species